GUCAUCUACACCCUCAAGCUCUGCUUGGUGUUGGGUGCCUGUCCCGCCUCCGCGUGUGGACUCACCUCAAAUCUAUUGGCGGCCCCUGUGCCGGCCCCGAGCGCAGCAGAAACGCGGUUCGUGGCCUGGUGAAGGGUGCUCCCAGAAGCAACAUUUACCGUUUUGACCUCGAAUCAGGUAGGGAUACCCGCUGAACUUAA
rnacentral:misc_RNA from 1 species